AAAUUUAAUAGUUCCCAAGCUUUUGGAAUCACAGAGACCUUUGAAGAUCUGAUGUAGAAAGUGAGCCCAUAAAUUUGCACACCAUUGCGAGUUUAAGGAGCCGCUUUGGCGCCCACGAAGCAGCCCUUCAUGUUUUAGUUGAGGAGGCUGCAGCUGAGCCCUGUCUCCUGAGGCAGAGGUCUGGGCUUUUAGUGGGAACAAUAGCACCCACGUCACCGCAGGCAACAGAAGCUCACUGGCUACGCUAAGUCUGAUUAAGAAAACUCCUGUGAGCGUUUUUGAGAGGCUGCAUUUUAGAGGCUUUGUUUCAGGUUUUCUGUGUGGCCGAUCAGUUCUAUGUUCAAGGCUGGCUGCCAGGAGUGGACUUUAAUUACUGGGCCUACACAUCAGUGUCACAGAGAGGCAGACGAACUGCAUCAAUAGUCUCUUCCCUCUGUCCCACUGAGGGCAGUCUCAGUGACAGGAGCCUCUGUCCCUGACCCCAAACCGUUCUGUCCUCCACUCCGUGGGCUUCUGAAAGGAACAGAAAGGGCCAAGGCCAAACCCGCAUCUGCACCUGGGGAAAGGAAUCUCAGCAGAAUCCGGGUGGCCCACAGUUCCCUUAUCCUAUGAGCCAUGGGGUUCAGGGUUCAGGAAAACCCAACCAAGCGCCCUGCACCAUGCUGUGAGGCUGCCCUAAGGCCUGCAAUCCUGAGACCCCAACCAAUGGAACAGGCCCCCUCUUAGUCAAGGGGACCCCAGGGAAACUUGAAAAUGAAUUCCUGGCCAUGGUGGAAGGGGAGGUCAGAGACACCUCAUGAAAGCCCUGCACCUUUGGAGUAUAAAAUAGGCAUAGUUAGAUUAUUCAGACUGGACUCUGGACAAUCAGUUACAGAUUAUGAACAAGACCUGAGGCCAUGCAAGGCAAGAAUUAACACACACCUAGAAACCACAGAGUCUCCUUCAAUGGGUUGUAAAAUCACUGAGGAUACUGUGGCUGACUUUCCUACCUGACUCUGGGACAGCAUCACGUGGCAGAGGCAGACCCUCUCUCUGAACUGAAGCAUUCCUUUGUACCAACUUCACGUCUUUAGACAAAGCUGAACUCUCAACCAAUUGCCAAUCGGAAAAUCUUUGAAUCCACCUAUGACCUAUAACACCCCCGACUUCAAGAUAUCCCACCUUGUUAGGCCGAGUCAAUGUACACCUUCCAUGGAUUGAUUUAUGAUGUUACUCCAAUUCCUGUCCCCUCAAAUGUAGAAAACGACGGCCCCGGCACACGUUUUCAGGACCUCUUGAGAUCCCCAGGCCAUGGUCACUCAUAUUGGCUCAGAAGAUACCUCUUACAGAUCAUUUAAGAGUGUGGUGUUUAUGUUAACAAGCCCAACCACAGGCCUUGACAUACCGUUUGCUCAGCUUGGGAAUUCCCAGACCAGCUACAGGCCCCCGCCUUCUCCUCCCAACCAGCACACUCUUUGUCCCCAUCCACCAUCAGGUCCACCUGUGCUCACCUGGGUGGGCCUCUGCCGGCUGCCGAUCUGCACCUGUUUCCCACCCCUCCUGACUUCAGAGUGCCCCCUCUGUGGGCAGUGCUCACUGUCACUCAGCCCCUCAGCCCCUGAGCUGCCUGGGGUUCUCCAUCUCUAUAGGGUGCUGGUAUCCUCAGGCCAGGACUCCUUUAGUAUAACCUGGCUCCUGCUAUGAAAUGUACAGUACCCAGAAAGUGUGACUGAGUCCCGA
rnacentral:lncRNA from 10 species